GGGCGCGUAGCUCAGUCCGGAGAGAGCAUCGGACUUCUAAUCCGACGGUCGAGGGUUCAAAUCCCUCCGCGCCCG
rnacentral:tRNA from 1 species